ACCCUGAAAUAUAUCACCCUGCAGCCCAAGACUGGUUACUCACUGAAGCUAAGCAGGGCUGAGCCUGGUCAGUAGCUGGAUGGGAGACCACAUGGGAAAACAAGGUUGCUGUUGGAA
rfam:Danio rerio chromosome 18, GRCz11 reference primary assembly.